AAGUCGUAACAAGGUUUCCGUAGGUGAACCUGCGGAAGGAUCAUUAACACGUAUCCACGUUAAACCCCCUGUGAACCUUCAUGCGAGUUACAUCCACGUCAUAAACCGGUGGUAAAUGUACGGUAGUGCGAGGCAAUUGACCUGGCAUUCCUCUGCUUGUUAGUGUCUGAAAGUGUCACUAGCUAUGUACGGAUGGCGCAGGAGGCCGACACGGCCGGCGACCACGUUACAACCUUUGCAUGAAGACGGGCCUGCGCUGAGGUGCGGCCACCCCUAAUGCUUGAACAACUGUUAACAAUGGAUAUCUUGGUUCUC
rnacentral:misc_RNA from 1 species